UACGUAGGGUGCAAGCGUUGUCCGGAAUUAUUGGGCGUAAAGAGCUCGUAGGCGGUCUGUCACGUCGGAUGUGAAAAUCCAGGGCUUAACCCUGGACCUGCAUUCGAUACGGGCAGACUAGAGUUCGGUAGGGGAGACUGGAAUUCCUGGUGUAGCGGUGAAAUGCGCAGAUAUCAGGAGGAACACCGGUGGCGAAGGCGGGUCUCUGGGCCGAUACUGACGCUGAGGAGCGAAAGCGUGGGGAGCGAACAGG
rnacentral:rRNA from 1 species